rnacentral:rRNA from 1 species
AGGACGAACGCUGGCGGCGUGCCUAACACAUGCAAGUCGAACGCCCUCCAAUCGGUAGCAAUACUGAUGAAGAGGGAGUGGCGAACGGGUGAGUAGCACGUGAGCAACCUGCCCCGAAGACUGGGACAACACCGGGAAACCGGUGCUAAUACCGGAUAUCCCUAUCGGACCGCAUGAUCUGAUAAGGAAAUGGAUUCCGCUUCGGGAGGGGCUCGCGGCCUAUCAGCUAGUUGGUGAGGUAAUAGCCCACCAAGGCAUCGACGGGUAGCUGGUCUGAGAGGACGAUCAGCCACACUGGGACUGAGACACGGCCCAGACUCCUACGGGAGGCAGCAGUGGGGAAUCUUGCGCAAUGGGCGAAAAGCCUGACGCAGCAACGCCGCGUGGAGGACGAAGGCUUUCUGAGUUGUAAACUCCUUUCAGCGAGGGACGAUAGUGACGGUACCUGCAGAAGAAGCACCGGCAACUACGCGCCAGCAGCCGCGGUAA